UAUUAAUGGGGUUCAGUAGCAUCAGUAGUGUAUAAAAGAGAGAGUAAGAAAGAAAGCAAAAUCACAUUAUCUUUAUUUUUUUAUGUAAUGACCUAUUCUGUGUUUUGCAGAAAUUCUAUUCUGUGGAUAAAAAAAAAAAAUUCCAUUGUAAGAAUCUAUAAAUCCAUUAUCACUUAAACCACUCUAAAACAACCUGAAUUUGUAGCUACAAGACAUUAAUAUAAGGUGAUAAAUAAAAGCAAAUUGUUGGUUUUUUUGAACUUGGGCAAAGCUUCUUUGUAAUCUGGAUGAUGAAGAGGAUUUAACUCUUUGUGGGGUAGAAACACUUUGGUGUGUGGGUCAGAAAUAGAGUUUAGUGUUUGGUCAUGGAGGUGUUUGAUAUUUUGAAAGAUAAAAUCCUCCCAGCAGAUAUGGUAUAUGUCAAUACAGCAGGGGAAUUUAAACAUACAGUGUGGGAUAGGUAUAUGCCUCUUGAAUCUAAGGCAAGACCAAGGAGCAAUUAAGGUUUCAAACCAAACUCUAUGAGAAGAAACUAACGAGAGAGCGA